CGCAUCUGUGCAUGCAGCAUAUCAAUAAGCGGAGGAAAAGAAACUAACAAGGAUUCCCUUAGUAACGGCGAGUGAAGCGGGAAGAGCUCAAAUUUGAAAUCUUCAAGGUUUUACCUUGACGAAUUGUAGUUUAAAGAAGUGUUUUCUGUUGAAGUUUUGGUAAAAGUUCUUUGGAAUAGGACAUCAUAGAGGGUGAGAAUCCCGUAUUUGACCAUUAUUUUCAGCUGUGUGAUACACUUUCAAAGAGUCGGAUUGUUUGGGAAUGCAGUCCAAAAUGGGUGGUAAAUUUCAUCUAAAGCUAAAUAUUGGCGAGAGACCGAUAGCGAACAAGUACCGUGAGGGAAAGAUGAAAAGAACUUUGAAAAGAGAGUUAAACAGUACGCUGAAAUUGUCAAAAGGGAAGCGUUUGACACCAGUGUUGUUUUCUCGAAAAUCAAUUAAAAAGAGUUUAGAUUUUGUUGUGUAUUGACCUUAACAGCUUGCAUUUCAAUUUUCUUGCUUUUUUUAAUGCACUUUUCGUUUAACAAGUCAACAUCAGUUUCUUUUGUUGUAAAAAGGUCCAUUGGAAGGUGGCUUUCUUUUCGGAGAAAGUGUUUAUAGCCUUUGACUCCUGCAAUCGGAGAGACUGAGGUCUGCAGCGUAGAUCCUUCGGGGUUAGAUACAUUUGUGCUAAGUUAUAGCUUUUUAUAGACAACUUGUUGACUAUGAUUAGUCUUGUAGCUUACUCGCUUACUGCUAUUUUACCUACGCUUAGGAUGUUAAUGUGAUACUGCGAGCA
rnacentral:rRNA from 1 species